UACGUAGGGCGCAAGCGUUGUCCGGAAUUAUUGGGCGUAAAGAGCUCGUAGGUGGCUUGUUGCGUCUGCCGUGAAAGCCCGUGGCUUAACUACGGGUCUGCGGUGGAUACGGGCAGGCUAGAGGCUGGUAGGGGCAAGCGGAAUUCCUGGUGUAGCGGUGAAAUGCGCAGAUAUCAGGAAGAACACCCGUGGCGAAGGCGGCUCUCUGGAACGCAACUGACGCUGAGACGCGAAAGCGUGGGGAGCAAACAGG
rnacentral:rRNA from 1 species